rnacentral:rRNA from 1 species
AUUGAACGCUGGCGGCAUGCCUAACACAUGCAAGUCGAACGGCAGCACAGCAGUAGCAAUACUGUGGGUGGCGAGUGGCGGACGGGUGAGGAAUACGUCGGAAUCUGCCCAGUCGUGGGGGAUAACUAGCCGAAAGGUUAGCUAAUACCGCAUACGACCGAGAGGUGAAAGCGGGGGACCGCAAGGCCUCGCGCGAUUGGAUGAGCCGACGUCGGAUUAGCUAGUUGGCGGGGUAAAGGCCCACCAAGGCGACGAUCCGUAGCUGGUCUGAGAGGAUGAUCAGCCACACUGGAACUGAGACACGGUCCAGACUCCUACGGGAGGCAGCAGUGGGGAAUAUUGGACAAUGGGCGCAAGCCUGAUCCAGCAAUGCCGCGUGUGUGAAGAAGGCCUUCGGUUGGUAAAGCGACUUUAUCAGGAACGAAAAGACGUUGGAUUAAUACUACUGACGUGCUGACGGUACC